rfam:Sphingomonas sp. Leaf339 scaffold1.1, whole genome shotgun sequence.
GGGCCGGUAGCUCAGGUGGUUAGAGCGCACGCCUGAUAAGCGUGAGGUCGUAAGUUCAACUCUUACUCGGCCCA